rnacentral:lncRNA from 1 species
CUCUCUUUGGCAUAGAGCUGUGAAGGAAGAGCUCAGAAAGGUUCGAGAAAGGGCCUGGAGAGAGGCGUUGUUUUGCUUCAACUACGGAGCCAUCUUCGACAGCCUGGGAAUUAUUUAAAUGACUUACACAAUAUAUUUUUUAAAUCACACCUUUGCUUGGGACACCUUAUAUUAGAAGAUUGAAGUACGGGACCUCACCUUCCAAAAUAAGGAUCAACAUGCUAAAGAUCAACAAAUAAGGGCUCUUGGAUUCCCUUGCCUCGAGAACCCAGGCAACCACAGACAGACAUCAGAGCCCUGUCUCGCACUGCUUGAUUUCCUCUUGAUCUCCUUUGGCAGACACUCAAAUGCAAUAUGAGAUUCAGUGAUGUAACUAGGCUGCGGAUUGUAUACAACUCACUCUUUAAUCACUAAAAGUAAGAAAAC